rnacentral:rRNA from 1 species
CUCUGUGAUCCCUACGGGGAGGCAGCAGUGGGGAAUAUUGCACAAUGGGGGAAACCCUGAUGCAGCCAUGCCGCGUGUGUGAAGAGGACCUUCGGGUUGUAAAGCACUUUCAGUAGGGAGGAAGGUAGUGUAGUUAACACCUGCAUUAUUUGACGUUACCUACAGAAGAAGCACCGGCUAACUCCGUGCCAGCAGCCGCGGUAAUACGGAGGGUGCGAGCGUUAAUCGGAAUUACUGGGCGUAAAGCGCAUGCAGGCGGCCUGUUAAGUCAGAUGUGAAAGCCCGGGGCUUAACCUCGGAAUUGCAUUUAGAAACUGGCAGGCUAGAGUCUUGUAGAGGGGGGUAGGAAUUUCAGGUGUAGCGGUGAAAUGCGUAGAGAUCUGAAGGAAUACCAGUGGCGAAGGCGGCCCCCUGGACAAAGACUGACGCUCAGAUGCGAAAGCGUGGGGAGCAAACAGGAUUAGAUACCCUGGUAG